AUGAUCCUGUGGCUGAAUUUGGUUUCCUUCCUAGCAGUCCUCAGAGGUGUCCUGUCAGAGGCCCAGUUGGUGGAGUCCGGAGGGGACGUGAGAAGGCCUGGAGAGUCCCUCCGUCUCUCCUGCCAAGGCUCUGGGUUCGACUUCGGGAGCUAUGCCAUGUACUGGGUGAGACAGGCCCCUGGGAAAGGGCUGGAAUGGGUGGCAUCCAUAAGCUACAAUUCAGGUACCAUUUACUAUUCGGACAAAGUGAAGGGACGCUUCACCAUCUCCAGGGACAACUCCAAAAGCCAAGUCUAUCUGCAAAUGAACAGCCUGAAACUGGAGGACACGGCAGUCUAUUACUGUGCGAGGGACACAGUGGGAGGAAGUGAGUCUGAAGCCUGGCAAAAACCU